CUUGCUAGGAGGCGUCGAGCGGCGGACGGGUGAGUAAUGCAUAGGAAUCUGCCCGGUAGUGGGGGAUAACCUGGGGAAACCCAGGCUAAUACCGCAUACGUCCUACGGGAGAAAGCAGGGGAUCUUCGGACCUUGCGCUAUCGGAUGAGCCUAUGUCGGAUUAGCUAGUUGGUGAGGUAAUGGCUCACCAAGGCUGCGAUCCGUAGCUGGUCUGAGAGGAUGAUCAGCCACAUCGGGACUGAGACACGGCCCGAACUCCUACGGGAGGCAGCAGUGGGGAAUAUUGGACAAUGGGCGAAAGCCUGAUCCAGCCAUGCCGCGUGUGUGAAGAAGGCCUUCGGGUUGUAAAGCACUUUCAGUGAGGAAGAAGGCCUUGAGGUUAAUACCCUCGAGGAAGGACAUCACUCACAGAAGAAGCACCGGCUAACUCCGUGCCAGCAGCCGCGGUAAUACGGAGGGUGCGAGCGUUAAUCGGAAUUACUGGGCGUAAAGCGCGCGUAGGCGGCUUGAUAAGCCGGUUGUGAAAGCCCCGGGCUCAACCUGGGAACGGCAUCCGGAACUGUCAGGCUAGAGUGCAGGAGAGGAAGGUAGAAUUCCCGGUGUAGCGGUGAAAUGCGUAGAGAUCGGGAGGAAUACCAGUGGCGAAGGCGGCCUUCUGGACUGACACUGACGCUGAGGUGCGAAAGCGUGGGUAGCAAACAGGAUUAGAUACCCUGGUAGUCCACGCCGUAAACGAUGUCGACUAGCCGUUGGGCUCCUUGAGAGCUUUGUGGCGCAGUUAACGCGAUAAGUCGACCGCCUGGGGAGUACGGCCGCAAGGUUAAAACUCAAAUGAAUGGACGGGGGCCCGCACAAGCGGUGGAGCAUGUGGUUUAAUUCGAUGCAACGCGAAGAACUUUACCUACCCUUGACAUCGAGAGAACUUUCCAGAGAUGGAUUGGUCCUUUCGGGAAUUUUCAGCCAGGUGCUGCAUGGCGGUCGUCAGCUCGUGUUGUGAAAUGUUGGGUUAAGUCCCGUAACGAGCGCAACCUUUGUCCCUAUUUGCCAGCGAUUCGUUGGGGAAUUCUGGGGAGACGGCGGGGGACAACCCGGAGGAAGGUGGGGACGACGUCAAGUCAUCAUGGGCCGUUACGGGUAGGGCUA
rnacentral:rRNA from 1 species